rnacentral:rRNA from 1 species
CAGCCGCCACGGUAAUACGUAGGGUGCAAGCGUUAAUCGGAAUUACUGGGCGUAAAGCGUGCGCAGGCGGUUAUAUAAGACAGAUGUGAAAUCCCCGGGCUCAACCUGGGAACUGCAUUUGUGACUGUAUAGCUAGAGUACGGCAGAGGGGGAUGGAAUUCCGCGUGUAGCAGUGAAAUGCGUAGAUAUGCGGAGGAACACCGAUGGCGAAGGCAAUCCCCUGGGCCUGUACUGACGCUCAUGCACGAAAGCGUGGGGAGCAAACAGGAUUAGAGACCCCCGUAGUCCCUGUCUCUUAUAU